rnacentral:rRNA from 1 species
AACGAACGCUGGCGGCAUGCCUAACACAUGCAAGUCGAACGAGACCUUCGGGCCUAGUGGCGCACGGGUGGGUAACGGGGUGGAUAAUGCCUGUGGGUCCGGAAUAUCACCCCGAAAGGGGUGCGGAUACCGGAUAAUGUCUUCGGACCGAAGAUUUAUCGCCAUUGGCUGGGCCGGCGUUGGAUUAGCUAGUUGGUAGGGUAAAAGCCUACCAAGGCGACGAGCCAUAGCUGGUCUGAGAGGAUGAUCAGCCACACUGGGGCUGAGACACGGCCCAGACUCCUACGGGAGGCAGCAGAGGAGAAUAUUGUAGAAUGGGGGAAAGCCUGAUCCAGCAAUGCCGGGUAAGUGAUGAAGGCCUUAGGGUUGUAAAGCUCUUUUACCCGAAGUGAUAAUGACGGUACCGGGAGAAUAAGCUCCGGCUAACUCCGUG